rnacentral:rRNA from 1 species
UACGGGGGGGGCAAGCGUUGUUCGGAAUUACUGGGCGUAAAGGGCUCGUAGGCGGCCAACUAAGUCGGAUGUGAAAUCCCCAGGCUUAACCUGGGAACUGCAUCCGAUACUGGAUGGCUUGAAUCCGGGAGAGGGAUGCAGAAUUCCAGGUGUAGCGGUGAAAUGCGUAGAUAUCUGGAGGAAUACCGGUGGCGAAGGCGGCAUCCUGGACCGGCAUUGACGCUGAGGAGCGAAAGCUAGGAGAGCAAACGGG